AUUGAACGCUGGCGGCAUGCUUUACACAUGCCAGUCGAACGGUAACAGCACUUCGGUGGCUGACGAGUGGCGAACGGGUGAGUAAUACAUCGGAACGUGCCUAGUAGUGGGGGAUAACUACUCGAAAGAGUAGCUAAUACCGCAUGAGAUCUAAGGAUGAAAGCAGGGCACCUUCGGGCCUUGCGCUACUAGAGCGGCUGAUGGCAGAUUAGGUAGUUGGUGGGAUAAAAGCUUACCAAGCCGACGAUCUGUAGCUGGUCUGAGAGGACGACCAGCCACACUGGGACUGAGACACGGCCCAGACUCCUACGGGAGGCAGCAGUGGGGAAUUUUGGACAAUGGGCGCAAGCCUGAUCCAGCAAUGCCGCGUGCAGGAUGAAGGCCUUCGGGUUGUAAACUGCUUUUGUACGGAACGAAAAGCCCUCUUCUAAUACAGGAGGGUCAUGACGGUACCGUAAGAAUAAGCACCGGCUAACUACGUG
rnacentral:rRNA from 1 species